GAUGAGCCGAAGUCGGAUUAGCUAGUUGGUGAGGUAACGGCUCACCAAGGCGACGAUCCGUAGCUGGUCUGAGAGGACGACCAGCCACACUGGGACUGAGACACGGCCCAGACUCCUACGGGAGGCAGCAGUGGGGAAUAUUGGACAAUGGGGGCAACCCUGAUCCAGCGACGCCGCGUGUGUGAAGAAGGCCUGCGGGUUGUAAAGCACUUUUAGUGGGGAUGAAAAGCUCGGGGUUAAUACCUCCGGGUCUUGACCUAACCCAAAGAAAAAGCACCGGCUAACUCUGUGCCAGCAGCCGCGGUAAUACAGAGGGUGCGAGCGUUAAUCGGAAUUACUGGGCGUAAAGCGUGCGUAGACGGUUAUGUAAGUCGGAUGUGAAAGCCCCGGGCUCAACCUGGGAAUGGCAUUCGAGACUGCAUAGCUAGGAUGCGGAAGAGGGAAGUGGAAUUUCCGGUGUAGCGGUGAAAUGCGUAGAUAUCGGAAGG
rnacentral:rRNA from 1 species